AAAAUAAAGCGUAGAAAUAAACUUAGGAGAACGGUUCUUAUGGAAUACCAUAAUCGUUCCGGGUGCCUAACACCUUCCCGUAGCGAAAACGACCCCCGAACUUAGAAUCUAAGGGUUUUUUUCUCAAUUUUACCCUUCCCAAGAAAAAAUAGAGAAUAUCAAAGAUUGAAAGGUUCAAGCCUAAUUAAUGACUUGACACCCGAAAAUCGCGAUAACA
rnacentral:lncRNA from 1 species